rnacentral:rRNA from 1 species
GCGAUCAUACCAGCACUAAUGCACCGGAUCCCAUCAGAACUCCGAAGUUAAGCGUGCUUGGGCGAGAGCAGUACUAGGAUGGGUGACCCCCCUGGGAAGUACUAGGUGGCGGCGACU